GAUGAAGAACGUAGCGAAAUGCGAUAAGUAAUGUGAAUUGCAGAAUUCAGUGAAUCAUCGAAUCUUUGAACGCACCUUGCGCCCUUUGGCCAUUCCGAAGGGCAUGCCGGUUUGAGUAUCAUGAACACCUCAACUCUCAUGGCUCGCCAUGAUGAGCUUGGAUUUGGGGGUCUUGCUGGCCUGUGGUCGGCUCCUCUCAAAUGGAUCAGCUUGCCAGUGUUUGGUGGCAUCACAGGUGUGAUAACUAUCUGCGCUUGUGGUUUUCCAUCAGAUAACCUUCAGUGAUGGAGGUUCGCUGGAGCUCAUCAACGUCUCCCCUAAGCGGGGACAGCCCUUUGAAUGUUUGAUCUCAAAUCAGGUAGGACUACCCGCUGAACUUAAGCAUAUCAAUAAGCGGAGGA
rnacentral:misc_RNA from 1 species